rnacentral:rRNA from 1 species
ACACUGGGACUGAGACACGGCCCAGACACCUACGGGUGGCAGCAGUAGGGAAUAUUGGACAAUGGGCGAAAGCCUGAUCCAGCCAUGCCGCGUGGAUGAUGAAGGCCUUCGGGUCGUANAGUCCUUUUCUGAGGGAAGAAAUGCCGAGGUUAAUACCCUUGGUUUGACGGUACCUCAGGAAUAAGCAACGGCUAACUCCGUGCCAGCAGCCGCGGUAAUACGGAGGUUGCAAGCGUUGUUCGGAAUCACUGGGCGUAAAGGGAGCGCAGGCGGUUAGGUCAGUCUAAAGUGGAAUCCCGGGGCUCAACUCCGGACGUGCUUUGGAUACUGCCUAACUUGAGUUCGUGAGAGGAGAGCGGAAUUCCAGGUGUAGCGGUGAAAUGCGUAGAUAUCUGGAGGAACACCGGUGGCGAAAAGCGGCUCUCUGGCGCGAAACUGACGCUGAGGCUCGAAAGCGUGGGGAGCGAACAGGAUUAGAUACCCUGGUAGUCCACGCUGUAAACAUUGUGCACUAGGUGUGGGAGGUAUCGACCCCUUCCGUGCCGAAGCUAACGCAUUAAGUGCACCGCCUGGGGAGUACGGUCGCAAGACUGAAACUCAAAGGAAUUGACGGGGGCCCGCACAAGCGGUGGAGCAUGUGGUUUAAUUCGAGGCAACGCGAAGAACCUUACCCAGGCUUGACAUCCCGCGCUAUCCUGUGAAAGCAGGAGUUCCUUUCGGGGACGCGGUGACAGGUGUUGCAUGGCUGUCGUCAGCUCGUGUCGUGAGAUGUUGGGUUAAGUCCCGCAACGAGCGCAACCCCUGUCCUUAGUUACCAGCGGUUCGGCCGGGCACUCUAAGGAGACUGCCGGUGAUAAGCCGGAGGAAGGUGGGGACGACGUCAAGUCAUCAUGGCCCUUAUGCCUGGGGCUACACACGUGCUACAAUGGUCGGUACAAAGGGCAGCAACACCGCGAGGUGAAGCUAAUCUCAAAAAGCCGGCCUCAGUUCGGAUUGGAGUCUGCAACUCGACUCCAUGAAGUUGGAAUCGCUAGUAAUCGCGUAUCCGCAAUGACGCGUGAAUACUUCCCGGGCGUUGUACACACCGCC